rnacentral:rRNA from 1 species
AAAUUGAAGAGUUUGAUCAUGGCUCAGAUUGAACGCUGGCGGCAGGCCUAACACAUGCAAGUCGAACGGUAACAGAAAGCAGCUUGCUGCUUUGCUGACGAGUGGCGGACGGGUGAGUAAUGUCUGGGAAACUGCCUGAUGGAGGGGGAUAACUACUGGAAACGGUAGCUAAUACCGCAUAAUGUCGCAAGACCAAAGAGGGGGACCUUCGGGCCUCUUGCCAUCGGAUGUGCCCAGAUGGGAUUAGCUAGUAGGUGGGGUAACGGCUCACCUAGGCGACGAUCCCUAGCUGGUCUGAGAGGAUGACCAGCCACACUGGAACUGAGACACGGUCCAGACUCCUACGGGAGGCAGCAGUGGGGAAUAUUGCACAAUGGGCGCAAGCCUGAUGCAGCCAUGC